GACGAACGCUGGCGGCGUGCCUAAUACAUGCAAGUCGAACGCAGUGGGGACGGGUGAGUAACACGUGGGUAACCUCCCAUCAGAGGGGAUAACACUUGGAAACAGGUGCUAAACCGAUACUGAUGGAUGGACCCGCGGUGCAUUAGCUAGUUGGUGAGGUAACGGCUCACCAAGGCCACGAUGCAUAGCCGACCGUGUGGGGUGAUCGGCCACACUGGGACUGAGACACGGCCCAGCCUCCUACGGGAGGCAGCAGUAGGGAAUAUUGGGCAAUGGUCGAAAGCCUGAUCCAGCCAUGCCGCGUGUAUGAAGAAGGUCUUCGGAUUGUAAAGUACUUUCAGCGGGGAGGCGGUAUCCGCAGAAGAAGCCCCGGCUAACUACGUGCCAGCAGCCGCGGUAAUUC
rnacentral:rRNA from 1 species